rnacentral:rRNA from 1 species
CCUACGGGAGGCAGCAGUGGGGAAUAUUGGGCAAUGGGCGCAAGCCUGACCCAGCAACGCCGCGUGAAGGAAGAAGGCUUUCGGGUUGUAAACUUCUUUUUACAGGGAAGAGCAGAAGACGGUACCUGUCGAAUAAGCCACGGCUAACUACGUGCCAGCCGACGCGGUAAUAUGUAGGUGGCAAGCGUUGUCCGGAUUUACUGGGUGUAAAGGGCGUGUAGCCGGGCUGACAAGUCAGAUUUGAAAUACGGGGGCUCAACCCCCGAACUGUAUUUGAAACUGUUGGUCUUGAGUAUCGGAGAGGCAGGCGGAAGUCCUAGGGUAGCGGUGAAAUGCGGAGAUAUUAGGAGGAACACCAGUGGCGAAGGCGGCCUGCUGGACGACAACUGACGGUGAGGCGCGAAAGCGUGGGGAGCAAACAGGAUUAGAUACCCGUGUAGUC